AACACUGCCCUUCCCCACGUGCCGAGGGUUUGAGAUGCUGCUUGUCCCAGUACGUGACUCCUCAUGACCCCGAAGUGCUGGGAGCGUGUGCACAGACAGCCCUGCCUGCACCGCCUUCCCGCAGGGCUCCCUGUCACCAUUGUCCCCAUCGCCCUCGCUCCUUCCACCGCUGCGGAAAUUGGCAGUCGGUUAUCGGUAAAUGCACCCGGUUCCUCUCCAGCUGUGCCAGGUGUGAAGGCCCGACCUGGCCGCCCACUUAAAGCCGUGUGAGCUCAGUCCCCGCUAGGGACCGGCCCUCCCGAGCCCGCAUGUCUGAUCUCAGCUCCCACUUUAUUUUAGGGAAAGCACUGAUGGCUACGGCCGCAGGAAUUCCGGGAGGUGGGAAUUCCGGAGCGUUCUGCCCUCCACACCCGGCGCUGGGACACGCCAAGGAGAUGGGGAGGGGCAUGACCCCCUCGGUGGGCUCUGCAUGGAGGCGGAUUUUCUAUUCACCCGCACAGGGCAAAGGGCUGCGGGCUGGGGACACGGGGCACGACACGGGGAGCGAGCAGGGACAGCGCAGCCAGGCUGGGCCCGUCCGUCCGUCCGUCCGUCCGUCCGUCCCGCUGGCGUUGCCAGUUCUGGGAAGCCUUCAGUGAUGUAUGGUUGAACGGCUCUGAUCCGACGCUGGCCAAGGAGGGAUUUAGUGGUCCUGGCUCCUUCCAUCUCAUUCACAUUGUCCUUCUCAAGGACAGCUGAACAUCUGCUGCCCAUAGGUAACUCCAGGCCGCCGCUCCCCGCCUGGGUGUGAAACCUCUGCCUGCCUCCAUCCCCGGCUCUGACCUGCCCUCGGAGCUCUCAAGUGAUUGUUUUCAUCCUGCUCCCGCUGUCUGGGGCUUUCCAAGUGUUGAUUAAAAGGUACCAUCGCUGCAAAA